rnacentral:rRNA from 1 species
UACGGAAGGCAGCAGUGGGGAAUAUUGCACAAUGGGCGCAAGCCUGAUGCAGCCAUGCCGCGUGUAUGAAGAAGGCCUUCGGGUUGUAAAGUACUUUCAGCGGGGAGGAAGGCGAUGCGGUUAAUAACCGCGUCGAUUGACGUUACCCGCAGAAGAAGCACCGGCUAACUCCGUGCCAGCAGCCGCGGUAAUACGGAGGGUGCAAGCGUUAAUCGGAAUUACUGGGCGUAAAGCGCACGCAGGCGGUCUGUUAAGUCAGAUGUGAAAUCCCCGGGCUUAACCUGGGAACUGCAUUUUGAAACUGGCAGGCUUGAGUCUUGUAGAGGGGGUGAAUUCCAGGUGUAGCGGUGAAAUGCGUAGAGAUCUGGAGGAAUCCGGUGGCGAAGGCGGCCCCUGGGACAAGACUGACGCUCAGGGUGCGAAAGCGUGGGGAGCGAAACAGGGAUUAGAUACC